rnacentral:misc_RNA from 1 species
UUAAGUUCAGCGGGUAUCCCUACCUGAUCCGAGGUCAAGCGUUAAAAUUAGGCUUACUGGAUACCAGCGUACCGGCUGGAGACGCAAAAUGUGCUGCGCUCCAAGGCUGAUACACUGGCUGCCAAUUGUUUUAAGGCGAGUCCGUGCAAAGCGCGGACAAACACCCAACACCAAGCAGAGCUUGAGGGUACAAAUGACGC